rnacentral:rRNA from 1 species
GACGAACGCUGGCGGCGUGCCUAAUACAUGCAAGUCGAACGCUGAAGAGCGGAGCUUGCUCUUCUUGGAUGAGUUGCGAACGGGUGAGUAACGCGUAGGUAACCUGCCUUGUAGCGGGGGAUAACUAUUGGAAACGAUAGCUAAUACCGCAUAACAAUGGAUGACACAUGUCAUUUAUUUGAAAGGGGCAAUUGCUCCACUACAAGAUGGACCUGCGUUGUAUUAGCUAGUAGGUGAGGUAAUGGCUCACCUAGGCGACGAUACAUAGCCGACCUGAGAGGGUGGUCGGCCACACUGGGAGUGAGACACGGCCCAGACUCCUACGGGAGGGAGCAGUAGGGAAUCUUCGGCAAUGGGGGCAACCCUGACCGAGCAACGCCGCGUGAGUGAAGAAGGGUGUCGGAUCGGAAAGCACUGUUGUAAGUCAAGAACGGGGGUGAGAGUGGAAAGUUCACACUGUGACGGUAGCUGACCAGAAAGGGACGGCUAACUACGUG